rnacentral:rRNA from 1 species
UACGAAGGGGGCUAGCGUUGUUCGGAUUUACUGGGCGUAAAGGGCGCGUAGGCGGCGUGGUAAGUCACUUGUGAAAUCUCCGAGCUUAACUCGGAACGGUCAAGUGAUACUGCUGUGCUAGAGUGCAGAAAGGGCAAUCGGAAUUCUUGGUGUAGCGGUGAAAUGCGUAGAUAUCAAGAGGAACACCUGAGGCGAAGGCGGGUUGCUAGGCUGACACUGACGCUGAGGCGCGAAAGCUAGGGUAGCAAACGGG